CAGAGUUAUCCAACUCCCAAACCCAUGUGAACUUAUCUCUUUGUUGCCUCGGCGCAAGCUACCCGGGACCCAGCGCCCCGGGCGGCCCGCCGGCGGACAAACCAGAACUCUUGUUAUCUUAGUUGAUUAUCUGAGUGUCUUAUUUAAUAAGUCA
rnacentral:misc_RNA from 1 species